UCCUCCUGCCUCAGCAUCUCAAGUGCUGAUAUUACAGACUGCUGCUGUAGUGCUGUAGUGCUGUAAACGUUCUAGUGUCUGUCAUUUGGUGAACCGAUGAGCGGAUUUCUGUACAGCCUCUUGAUGGAAACAAGGGACUUCGUGGAUCUGAAAUGCUUGAGGCUGCUCCUCGGGGAGCAUAGCACUCUUCUUAAAGGAAAGAGUGGCGGCCCCGCCUGCCCACUUCUAUUCCACCUGUCUGUGUGCCAAAGCACAGCGCUGGUUCAUCUGAGUUACCAAUAGCUGGUGUAUGUCCUUGCCUGGGUCCUGGAGGACCCUUGCCUGGGGUGGUCCAGUGGAAUGCAUCCUGCUGCCAAUGCCUCUGCUGUGAGUGCCUUGCUGGAUCACUGGGGGUCUCGGCCUGGGACAGUCAGGCUGCGUGUGCCCUGAUACCACUGCUGCCACUGUGGGUGCCUUGCUGGGUCUGAGGAAUAGUUUUGAGCAAAGAUUAUAUUUUGCUUAGACCCACCUCCUCCCUCCUUUGAG